rnacentral:rRNA from 2 species
UUAAGCGACUAAGCGUACACGGUGGAUGCCCUGGCAGUCAGAGGCGAUGAAGGACGUGCUAAUCUGCGAAAAGCGUCGGUAAGGUGAUAUGAACCGUUAUAGCCGGCGAUGUCCGAAUGGGGAAACCCAGUGCAAUUCGUUGCACUAUCGUUAACUGAAUACAUAGGUUAACGAGGCGAACCGGGGGAACUGAAACAUCUAAGUACCCCGAGGAAAAGAAAUCAACCGAGAUUCCCCCAGUAGCGGCGAGCGAACGGGGAGCAGCCCAGAGUCUGAAUCAGCUUGUGUGUUAGUGGAACGGUCUGGAAAGUCCGACGGUACAGGGUGAUAGUCCCGUACACCAAAAUGCACAGGCUGUGAACUCGAAGAGUAGGGCGGGACACGUGGUAUCCUGUCUGAAUAUGGGGGGACCAUCCUCCAAGGCUAAAUACUCCUGACUGACCGAUAGUGAACCAGUACCGUGAGGGAAAGGCGAAAAGAACCCCGGCGAGGGGAGUGAAAAAGAACCUGAAACCGUGUACGUACAAGCAGUGGGAGCACCUUCGGGUGUGACUGCGUACCUUUUGUAUAAUGGGUCAGCGACUUAUAUUCUGUAGCAAGGUUAACCGUAUAGGGGAGCCGCAGGGAAACCGAGUCUUAACUGGGCGUUAAGUUGCAGGGUAUAGACCCGAAACCCGGUGAUCUAGCCAUGGGCAGGUUGAAGGUUGGGUAACACUAACUGGAGGACCGAACCGACUAAUGUUGAAAAAUUAGCGGAUGACUUGUGGCUGGGGGUGAAAGGCCAAUCAAACCGGGAGAUAGCUGGUUCUCCCCGAAAGCUAUUUAGGUAGCGCCUCGUGAAUUCAUCUUCGGGGGUAGAGCACUGUUUCGGCUAGGGGGUCAUCCCGACUUACCAACCCGAUGCAAACUACGAAUACCGAAGAAUGUUAUCACGGGAGACACACGGCGGGUGCUAACGUCCGUCGUGAAGAGGGAAACAACCCAGACCGCCAGCUAAGGUCCCAAAGUCAUGGUUAAGUGGGAAACGAUGUGGGAAGGCACAGACAGCCAGGAUGUUGGCUUAGAAGCAGCCAUCAUUUAAAGAAAGCGUAAUAGCUCACUGGUCGAGUCGGCCUGCGCGGAAGAUGUAACGGGGCUAAACCAUGCACCGAAGCUGCGGCAGCGACACUAUGUGUUGUUGGGUAGGGGAGCGUUCUGUAAGCCUGCGAAGGUGACCUGUGAGGGUUGCUGGAGGUAUCAGAAGUGCGAAUGCUGACAUAAGUAACGAUAAAGCGGGUGAAAAGCCCGCUCGCCGGAAGACCAAGGGUUCCUGUCCAACGUUAAUCGGGGCAGGGUGAGUCGACCCCUAAGGCGAGGCCGAAAGGCGUAGUCGAUGGGAAACAGGUUAAUAUUCCUGUACUUGGUGUUACUGCGAAGGGGGGACGGAGAAGGCUAUGUUAGCCGGGCGACGGUUGUCCCGGUUUAAGCAUGUAGGCUGGUUAUCCAGGCAAAUCCGGAUAAUCAAGGCUGAGGUGUGAUGACGAGGCACUACGGUGCUGAAGUAACAAAUGCCCUGCUUCCAGGAAAAGCCUCUAAGCAUCAGGUAACAUCAAAUCGUACCCCAAACCGACACAGGUGGUCAGGUAGAGAAUACCAAGGCGCUUGAGAGAACUCGGGUGAAGGAACUAGGCAAAAUGGUGCCGUAACUUCGGGAGAAGGCACGCUGGUGUGUAGGUGAAGUCCCUGCGGAUGGAGCUGAGACCAGUCGAAGAUACCAGCUGGCUGCAACUGUUUAUUAAAAACACAGCACUGUGCAAACACGAAAGUGGACGUAUACGGUGUGACGCCUGCCCGGUGCCGGAAGGUUAAUUGAUGGGGUUAUCCGUAAGGAGAAGCUCUUGAUCGAAGCCCCGGUAAACGGCGGCCGUAACUAUAACGGUCCUAAGGUAGCGAAAUUCCUUGUCGGGUAAGUUCCGACCUGCACGAAUGGCGUAAUGAUGGCCAGGCUGUCUCCACCCGAGACUCAGUGAAAUUGAACUCGCUGUGAAGAUGCAGUGUACCCGCGGCAAGACGGAAAGACCCCGUGAACCUUUACUAUAGCUUGACACUGAACAUUGAGCCUUGAUGUGUAGGAUAGGUGGGAGGCUUUGAAGCGUGGACGCCAGUCUGCGUGGAGCCAACCUUGAAAUACCACCCUUUAAUGUUUGAUGUUCUAACGUUGGCCCCUGACCGGGGUUGCGGACAGUGUCUGGUGGGUAGUUUGACUGGGGCGGUCUCCUCCCAAAGCGUAACGGAGGAGCACGAAGGUUAGCUAAUCCUGGUCGGACAUCAGGAGGUUAGUGCAAUGGCAUAAGCUAGCUUGACUGCGAGCGUGACGGCGCGAGCAGGUGCGAAAGCAGGUCAUAGUGAUCCGGUGGUUCUGAAUGGAAGGGCCAUCGCUCAACGGAUAAAAGGUACUCCGGGGAUAACAGGCUGAUACCGCCCAAGAGUUCAUAUCGACGGCGGUGUUUGGCACCUCGAUGUCGGCUCAUCACAUCCUGGGGCUGAAGUAGGUCCCAAGGGUAUGGCUGUUCGCCAUUUAAAGUGGUACGCGAGCUGGGUUUAGAACGUCGUGAGACAGUUCGGUCCCUAUCUGCCGUGGGCGCUGGAGAAUUGAGGGGGGCUGCUCCUAGUACGAGAGGACCGGAGUGGACGCAUCACUGGUGUUCGGGUUGUCAUGCCAAUGGCACUGCCCGGUAGCUAAAUGCGGAAGAGAUAAGUGCUGAAAGCAUCUAAGCACGAAACUUGCCCCGAGAUGAGUUCUCCCUGAGACUUUAAGUCUCCUGAAGGAACGUUGAAGACGACGACGUUGAUAGGCCGGGUGUGUAAGCGCAGCGAUGCGUUGAGCUAACCGGUACUAAUGAACCGUGAGGCUUAACCUU